UUUCUGCCUUUCAAGAAUACUGCAGAAAAAAAGAUAAUAGUACAUGUUUGUGAUUUUUACAGGCAAAUGGAGAGUUUUCAUUAGCAAUAUGUAUACUUCAAAGUAAUGUGUGAAUCCUCUUACCUCAGUGGAUCCAGUGAAAGCAAUUUUAUCAAUGCCAACAUGAGAGGCUAUGGCUGCACCAACAAUUGGACCAAAUCCUGGCAAAAUAUUGACAACUCCUGGUGGAAAGCCAGCCUGUCAAAAUAGGAAUGAAUAAAGGUUAUCUUUCACAGAUGCUAGCAGUGGUUCACAGACCAUAGGAAGAUUCAUCAGAUCCGACAGAAGAGAAGUCAAAAUACAGAAAAGUACAUACAAGCAAAACUGUCUAAGUGCUCAAGGGAACACAGAGGAGUCAGCUAAAAAUACCAGCUUGUACUCGGUAGUACUGUGAGAGGUGGGUUCUCAGCCAGAAGGAUGGUGGCAACAUAACAGUAACACAGUUACAUUAGCACUGUCUGACUUUAGAUUGU